GAUGAACGCUAGCUACAGGCUUAACACAUGCAAGUCGAGGGGAGACGCCAUUGCAGCUUGCUUCGAUGGUGGUCGACCGGCGCACGGGUGAGUAACGCGUAUCAACCCUGCCUCUGACCAAGGGAUAACCCGUCGAAAGUCGGCCUAAUACCUUAUGCAGUCGUCGGUCGUCAUCUGAUGACGACGAAAGAUUUCAUCGGUGGGAGAUGGGGAUGCGUCUGAUUCGCUUGUUGGCGGGGUAACGGCCCACCAAGGCCACGAUCAGUAGGGGUUCUGAGAGGAAGGUGCCACACAGUGGAACUGAGACGCGGUCCAAACUCCUACGGGAGGCAACAGUGAGGUAUAGUAGUCAAUGGGCGAGAGCCUGACCCAGCCAAGUAGCGUGCAAUAGGACGGCUCUAUGGGUUGUAAACUGCUGUUAUGCAGGGAUAAAGUGAGGGUCGUGGCCUUCAUUGCAGGUACCGCAAUAAUAAGCGCCGGCUAAUUCCGUG
rnacentral:rRNA from 1 species